UUUAUUGUGGAUCACCCCUGGACAAAUGACUUGGUACCUAUUGUUGUAAGUUCGUAUUGAUUUCGCUAAUUGUAAUAGAAAAUAGACUCAAGCUCAAGCUGGGAGAGAUUGUUACCACAAUUCCAACUAUCGAUAAAACCUUUAGUGAAGCCAACCAAAUACAUAAUGAAAGUUCGUCGCAUUAAAUAUGCUUGGCAUGAGUUUUUUCUUGAGGCUAGGUACAACAUUGGUGCAGUUAUCUUGCUCUGGGCACCCGUAGUCUUGAUUGCAUUGUGGAAUAUGCAUUCAUUAUUCAAAGAAAGGGUGACAUUCCAAGCACUCACACUUUCUCUCCUUGCUAGCUAAAUUGGCUGACAAGCUAAAGAAGUCAGUGGAGGAUGAAAUUCAUUUUCUCAAGGGAAGGGUUUCAGAACUUGAAAGUGAUCUUGUGUCGAAGUCCACAGAAGUUAUAUCUGUAAUUUCAAGGAAAGAAGAAGCUCUAUCUUCUGCAUUUGCUGAAAUUGACCAUCUGAAGGAAGAAAAUUCUGUAAAAACGUGAGCAUUAUUGAAUGCAUAUGGAGGGUGUUUACUGUGUUAGAGUGUAUUUAUUUCUUGCACAUGACGGCACGCCUUAGUUGUAAUUCUUAUGAUAGGUUGAGC